AAUGACUUGUGUCAUGCACAAAGUUGAUGUCCUAACAGACUUGCCAAAACUAUAGUUUGUUAACAAGAAAUGUGUGGACUAACUAAACAGCAUACUGCUUAACGGGCUGUUUUCAUUAGUUCUUAUUGGACAAGCUCAGGUUAGUCCCUCCACCACUGUGCAGUUUGGUUCCUAACGGGUCUAUUAAAACAACCUACUCCACGUUCAGUGGAACAAUGUCUCACCAUUUAUAAAACAAGUCGGGAUUCUGUAGGAGAGUUUGUCUGGUGAACUGGGUAAAGAGACUAGGUUUGCCUCCCAAAGGGCACCCUAUUCCCUAUGUAGUGCACUACUUUUGAUCAGAACCCUAUGGGGUUCCCCUAAUAGGGACUGAUCCUAUGAUGUAUAACCCUUUCUCUUAGUGGUAUUUUACAGUGGCAGGAUGACAAUGCACUGACUACUGAACAGCUGUCAGCUGGCUAUGGGGCCUUGUGCUUGUCUGUUACAGCUACGCAGUCAGACAAAUAGUUAGCCAAGGUCUCCGGUGAUGUUUGGAAUAUAUAGCUAAUGCUGGGUUCCGGUCUGAAAUGGCACCCUAUUCCCUAUAUAGUCCACUACCCCUAAUAGGCCCUAGUCAAAAGUAGUGCACUAUAUAGUUAGAAUAAGGUGCCAAGCAAUACUUGUUGUGCUGGCCUGGUAUACAAAGACAUGCAUGUAUAAACCAGGAAACAUUUGAGUCAGAAUUGGACUCAUCCAUAAACUGACAGGUUGUGUAUCCCAAAAUGGCACCCUAUUCCCCAUGUAGUGCACUACUUUUGACCAGAGCCCUAUAGAGAAUAGGGUGCCAUUUGGAACAUGUCCAAGGACUUCCGUUACUGUCAACCUUCGUACAUCCUUCCUAUGUGGUCACUUCUCUAGUGGUGUCAGGUGGCUUUAACGGUCACUGUAAUCAUUACUAUAGCAACAGGAGAAAGCAGGAGAGAGAGCAGCUACAAUGUCACACACCAGAAUGAAUACAACCGAUUGUAUUUUAUUUAUUUAACUUGGCAAGUCAGUUAAGAACAAAUUCUUAUUUACAAUGACGGCCUACCGGGGAACAGCGGAUUAACUGCCUUGUUCAAGGGCAGAACGACAUAUUUUUAGCUCGGGGAUUCGAUCCAGCAACCUUUCAGUUACUGGCUCAACGCUCUAACCACUAGGCUACCUGAUUGGACCUAAAUACUCCUGCUUGUAUGAACCUGAUUGGACCUAAAUACUCCUGCUUGUAUGAACCUGAUUGGACCUAAAUACUCCUGCUUGUAUUGACCUGAUUGGACCUAAAUACUCCUGCUUGUAUUGACCUGAUUGGACCUAAAUACUCCUGCUUGUAUUGACCUGAUUGGACCUAAAUACUCCUGCUUGUAUUGACCUGAUUGGACCUAAAUACUCCUGCUUGUAUUGACCUGAUUGGACCUAAAUACUCCUGCUUGUAUUGACCUGAUUGGACCUAAAUACUCCUGCUUGUAUUGACCUGAUUGGACCUAAAUACUCCUGCUUGUAUUGACCUGAUUGGACCUAAAUACUCCUGCUUGUAUGAACCUGAUUGUUUGAACUCAGAACACCAGGACUGUGUGAAAUAAUGCAGCAAUGAGUAAGCUACAGUUGUGGGACCUUUUGGCUGAGUUAGCCAUUAGCCCAGGUGGGUUUAGUACAGGUUGGCUGAGUUAGCCAUCAGCCCAGGUGGGUUUAGUACAGGUAGGUUUAGUACAGGUUGGCUGAGUUAGCCAUUAGCCCAGGUGGGUUUAGUACAGGUAGGUUUAGUACAGGUUGGCUGAGUUAGCCAUUAGCCCAGGUGGGUUUAGUACAGGUUGGCUGAGUUAGCCAUCAGCCCAGGUAGGUUUAGUACAGGUUGGCUGAGUUAGCCAUCAGCCCAGGUGGGUUUAGUACAGGUAGGUUUAGUACAGGUUGGCUGAGUUAGCCAUCAGCCCAGGUGGGUUUAGUACAGGUAGGUUUAGUACAGGUUGGCUGAGUUAGCCAUCAGCCCAGGUGGGUUUAGUACAGGUAGGUUUAGUACAGGUUGGCUGAGUUAGCCAUCAGCCCAGGUGGGUUUAGUACAGGUAGGUUUAGUACAGGUUGGCUGAGUUAGCCAUCAGCCCAGGUGGGUUUAGUACAGGUAGGUUUAGUACAGGUUGGCUGAGUUAGCCAUCAGCCCAGGUGGGUUUAGUACAGGUAGGUUUAGUACAGGUUGGCUGAGUUAGCCAUCAGCCCAGGUGGGUUUAGUACAGGUUGGUACAAUGUCUUCAGAAAAUAUUUAUACCCCUGGACUUCUGGGUGAGUCUAAGAGCUGUGAGUCCUUCUGGGUGAGUCUAAGAGCUGUGAGUCCUUCUGGGUGAGUCUAAGAGCUGUGAGUCCUUCUGGGUGAGUC